rnacentral:tRNA from 1 species
GGUUCCGAAGCCGAAGUCGUCGAGGCGCACGGUUGUCAACCGUGUCAUUAACGAGUGCGAGUCUCGUCGGAGCCGCCA